GUUAUUUCAGUUAGCUCCUGAGCAUGCUGGCAUGUUGAUAGUACUCUGCAUUUCUGCUGUGCUGUUAUGUUUUAACUCGCUGAUGAUGUCUGGUUAUCAUUCUUAGUACUUCUCAUGCUAAAAAUGUCGCAGGCAAGGUCUGUUGGAGAUGGUUCGUUUUGACCAUGAAGUGAUUGAACCAACUCAUGUACUAGCAGUUGAGCAAUUUUUACAAUCUCCGUCCUGUGUGUGCAGGUGCGCAGAAGAAAUAUGUAAGUUGAGAUAAUGCAAAAAGUCCUAUCACAUGGGUCUUCUUACUGUUGUCUGGCUGAAGCUGGGGCUGCAAAAAGUCCUAUACACCGAAUUUCCCCGCCCCUCCGACGACCUCCUUCCCUCCGAGCCGCGGACAUCCAGAACCAUGGGGAUGAGCUGAUCCCUAGCUUCCGCCCCGGCCACAUGCUCCUCCCUUUUCUCCCCCGCCUGGAUACCUCCACCCCCUCCCAUGUCAUCACCUUCCAGCUCGUUGCCGACUGGUACGACUGCAGCGGGUCUCGCCGGGGGCGAAUACGAUCGCCCCCGCCAUCAUCGGCGUUGGAUCCAUCUUCUCCGAGGAUGUGAUAGUUUUGAGACUGGGCAGUUCUGCAUCCAUGUACGUGAUGUGGUUCAGGAGUGGACAGCGACGAGGAGAUGCAGCAGGUAAGAGAGAUGGGAGCCCGCUCUGCAUUGUCCAGCGCGUGGGGCGUCGAUGGGGACGGUUAUUCGGCAUUGCAAGGAUUGGGGGCAUGUAGAUGCAGCUUAUUGAAUGUCUAGGGAGGUUCUUAGCGAUCACUUCAUCUGAUGUACUUUCAGGUGAACCUACAAGGAAUGGUUAGGAAGUGCAUUAUGCUUGGGAGGCAUGUACGUCUUAUGCACGCAUAUUGGGUACAUCAUAGAGAUGGUAAACCAUCCAUUUGAUGCUCAGGCUGAUGUGACUGUUCUGGACAGCAGAUCGUCGCAUCCACAACAUCGCCUUGGCCCGGCGUGCACUGUUCGCUGCUUCAUGCUCUUCUCACUGAAGUUGUUCCUCUCUAGUGAACUCAAAGUGUUCUGGGAGGUGCUAGGCGAGCGGCAGUGUGGAGUUAAUCUCCUUCCUAAUAAUCGCUAAUCUCUCCUGGUGUUGAGAAAGGUUGGUGACUUCCUCUUCUUACUGUUAGAUGCAGCAACCACAAAACUCCAGUAUGGGAACCCUGAUGCUGUGCUCCUUGCUAAAUGCUAACCAUUGCAAAGAAGAAUGGGAAACACUUUGGUAAUUGACUGAAUACAUUCCUUUUUAAAUUACCUAACCAUAUACGUGCACCUCUGAUCUCAUAAGUUUCAUGCUUGGAGUUAGUUCUAUUGAACAACUAUAUAUUUUUUUCUCUUUUACACUUGGUUGGGGAGAUUAUCUUUAUGACACUAGCUCGACAAGAUUGACACUAGCUCAACAGAGAAGGUAUUUUGGGAUUUGACAUCCGACACUAGGAAGUUUAUCCAUGACACUUAAUCUGUAAGUUUGUAACAAUAGCUGGUGAAUGACCUUAGUGUAGGAUUAUGCAUGCACUCCUGAACUUUGUGUACUCAGCAAAUGGGAUAGAAAAAAAUUGUAAAAAGCAAUGCUGUCUGGUCUGUACCUGUUCCCACCAAAGUGGAAUGGCUGGAACAAUAAUAUCUGCUUUCUUUUAGGCAAUUUUCGCCCUGUUUAUGGGCAUUUAUUGCUCAUACCCAAACAACGCAGCACCAGAAUUGACUACAUGGUUUUGUAUUUUUAUGUUUGGACAGUACGAAAUACCUAUAUGACCUAAUGUCUUCCUUCUACCAUUUUAACAUCAUCGGUGCCAUUUAAGAAUUAAUAUUAAAAUCUAAUGUCUUCCUUUAACAAUUUUAAGAAGUGGUUGCCGUUUAUAAGAUUAAUAUUAAAAUAAUUGUGCACUCAGAUGGAAUGAUGUCUUCUUCUGUUAAUGUUUGGUCGAGUGUUUUUCUUUUUCUUUUUGAUCAAUCAUUUGUUCCUACAUUGGAUGAGAGCCUAUUGUUGUUAUCUUUGUCUUUUUACAUCAGACUCUGCUUUGAGAUUUAUUUUACAAAUAAAUGUUGUAAUAUCAGUUUUAAGUAAUCUGGUUAUUUCAGUUAGCUCCUGAGCAUGCUGGCAUGUUGAUAGUACUCUGCAUUUCUGCUGUGCUGGUAUGUUUUAACUCGCUGAUGAUGUCUGGUUAUCAUUCUUAGUA